rnacentral:misc_RNA from 1 species
UGGGUGUGCAGAGGGACCAUUCACAGUGAGAAGGGACUCGUCAAAUCAGCCCACUCUAUUAACUGUUUAACGAGCCCUCGGACCAGCACUGCGUCUAACCCUGGUGGCUCGCCUUCCCUCUGCGAGGUGACCCAUGAAAAGGUCGGUCUCGCUGCGUUUGUUUUGGAUUUCGGCAGUACAAAGGCAGGUGUCCGUGGGGUAUAUCGUCGUGCCCUGUCUCUACACAUCAUCUCUGUUCAGUUUAAAACAGUGACCCAUUGGGUAUACCGCUGUUGCCCUGUACCUACCGCAUCGUGGAUCCCUGGAUCACUAAGUAUGUAGACCCGAAUAUCUAAUACGUACAUACAUAGAGUCAUCCCUCGCCGUUGACUGGGAAGCUGAUCUACGGAGCGACCACAACUCAAGUUUACAUUUCUUCCUAUACCCGUGUUACUAAACAAACAUCCGACACAUUGAAGAAGAUGUGUUUUGUUCAGCGGAUCUACAACGCGACCACUUAAUUGGAUGAAGUAUUGACACAGCUACAUCGCGACAGAUUAUAUCAUCAAAUGUGUUAUUGGGAUGACGUAUACCAUCUCCACCGAAAACAAGCUGUCUGAUGUGUUCAGCUCGCCGCCUGGGGCCAUGUUGCGUUAUUGUGUCGCGUCUUCUGCAGCCUUCUGACCGUGAGAUCUUGGGGUCCUGGGUCAGGGGUCAGCCAGCCGGGGAGAGGGGCUGUACUGCCGUGUAGUUGGCAGGGGACAGACGUGUGGGUCUCAAGCAGCGCGUGGCUCUCUAGCUGGUAGCAUCACGCUCAUUGACCCAAUCAACAUUUCCAAUCACAGGCCUUGGAAUGAUGCAAAGACAUGGAUUAAAUAUUCAAAGGAAUUUGGAUCGAUGUGUAUACAACAGCUUUAUAUUCCCCCGCACGGUGGGUAGCAGAUCAGGCGUGUCCCGGUCUACCUAGUAUGUUUCUCUGAGUUCAAUGUUCAUGGUUAACAGAAUAGGAUGUUUAUCGUCUGACGUCGAGCUGGGACAGAGAGCCACCUGGCCGACAGAUUUCUGUGAGGUCUUCUAGUGACAUUGUUCCGGUGUCGGCGGCCACGCUGACACCCAUAGCGUCAGACCCGGCACGGAUCGUGAGCCCGCAUGGCAGCUGCAUGACCCUAAGGUCUUGUUUUUAAGAAGAUUUGUUGACAUGUGACGGUUACUACAAUUCUGUCAGCCAUAACAGUAAGUUGGGGAGGACAAGCAUGGCAACAUAGACACGUGUGAUACACGUCUUGAACGAGCAAAAGUAGCAAGUACAGCCUCUGUAGGAGCAGGAACAUCAUCCAGGAGCCAAGGCCGUCACUAGAGGAGACGGAGCCGCAAUUGUGUGGAUCCAGGAAAGUCAUAGUAGGGAGCCACGAAUGUCACUGGAAGGAGCCAAUCCCGAGAGGGAAAGGAGCCAGUGCCAACAGUAAAAGGAGCCAGUCACGAUAGGGAAAGGAGCCAGUCCCGAGAGGGAAAGGAGCCAGUGCCAACAGUAAAAGGAGCGCGUGUCGACAGGGAAAGGACCAAUUCCAUCAGUGUAGGGAAACAAGGGAGCCAGUAUUCGUACCAAAAGGGGUCCCGACCCUUACUACAAAAAGGUAGGACCGCCAAUCGAUACGGAACCAUGACUGUUCCCCAGGGAGCUGGGACCAAUUCUGCAAGACAAUCACAGUUAUCGACUAACGAGAUAGAACUGCCAGUUUGUCGCGGUGACCUCCCUACUAAUUAGUGCAGUGUGCUGGUGCACGAGCAGCAGCAUCUCACGUGACAGGUAGGUAGGUGUAAUUGCCCAGGUGUUACUGCAACAGCGUGUGACGGCCACGCCUGGGUGGAUGGGAUACCUACUACAUGAACAUACUACUACAAAGACUAUGUGCCUACAAUGACAUGCCAUGGCUUCGGCUCACUGAUUUCUGUCUCUUUGUAACGAUCGAUGUAUCGACCACAGAAGCGUGUUCAACAGCGCAGUUAAGACCGGAACGUUAAUAACACCAUAGCUCCCGGCAACUUGACAAGACUGCAAAUCUUUAGUCUGACGGAUGGGAUGUACAUGUGAUUCUGAAGGUCGUCAUGAGGUCCAAGCCGGUGCCGUUGGCGUACACGAUGGACACCUACUGGUCUGUUGACCACAAAUAUCCGUAACCUGUAUCAAUUCCUAUCAGUGGUGGUAGGGCGCGUUAAUUCCUAUACUUUGACUGUAUGAUGGGCUUGUGGAAGAAUUUACUCCACGGUCGGCAAGGCAACCAACAAGCUAAGGCAGAUCGGCCAACCCUUGCUACAAACCCCGAACUAUCCGUGAGGUAUCACGGGGGUGUGGCCCGUAGCGACACCGCGUCCUACGUCUCUAUCGCCGCCAACAGUGACGAUGGGUCUGGGGGAGAGACCGACAACACGUAUGCAUCGAUCAAAUCAUGGGCCUUAUCGGACCAAGUCCAGCCGCCAGAUUCUGUUCAUGACUCCAGUUCAGGGAUUGCGUCAGACGUUGCGAGCUACAACUACCCGCCCACAACGAUGACGACUUUCAAGGGCGAGUCCAGCUCCUCUCAGGAUUCUGGCACAAAGAGUGUGACCUGGGCUCGUCUUCCCGGAGAGGCCAAGACUUCGAAUAAUUACGUCCAAAUGCACAUGCGCCAGUCAAGGUCGUGCUACAAGAACUCUGUGUUUGAUCCACGGAUGAUUGAAUCCAUGGAGUCGGUGAUGUCCAGUAUGAAACAAGUGGAACUAAAAGACACGAGUAGAUUACUUUCCUCUACAUCAACAAAAGGGAAAUAUGUCCGCCCAGCACCGUUCGAGCUCCUGACAGACGACAUCAUGCUCCGGAUUCUUCUCAACCUUCCAACAGACCAUGUGUGUCGCGUCACGCGCGUCUGUAAGCGCUGGUACAGACUGAUCUGGGAAUACCCACUCCUAUGGACAAGUAUAGUCAUAAACAAUGAAACCAUUAAUAUUGAUAAAGCUUUAAAAUAUCUCACAAGGCGUCUCAGUUACAAUACACCCAAGGUCUGUGUGAUUCUGGAACGGAUCAUUCUUAAUGGCUGUGAGCAGUUAACGGAUAAGGGACUUCAUACUAUUGCGAGACGCUGCCCCGAGCUGCGAUACCUUGAGCUGCAAGGCUGCUCAAACAUCACCAAUGUGGCCCUGUUUGAAGUAGUGUCCAACUGCGUCAACCUGGAACACCUUGAUGUGACAGGGUGUGCUCUGGUCACCUGCAUCAGCCUGACAGAUGGGAUGUCAUCCCCACACAUGGCCCGCCACCAGCACCAGAUAUACCUUCGAUACCUGGACAUGACAGACUGUUACGCCCUGGAGGACCAGGGCCUUGGUAUCAUCACCUCUCACUGUACACACCUCCAGUUUCUGUACCUACGACGAUGUGUCCACAUAUCUGACGAGGGUAUCCAACACAUUGCACGCAACUGUCCCUAUUUGCGUGAGUUCAGUGUUAGUGACUGUCGGAGAGUUACUGACCUUGGUAUGCGGGAACUCUCUAAGUUAGGAGAGAAUUUAAGAUACCUUAGUGUUGCAAAGUGUGAUAGAGUGUCAGAUGUUGGUGUUUGUUAUAUAGCAAAACAUUGUUUGAAGCUGCGGUAUCUGAAUGUCCGCGGAUGCGAAGCUGUAUCCGAUGAAGCGGUUGCAUUCCUGGCAGCUAACUGCCCCAGGUUACGGUCUCUUGACAUUGGGAAGUGUGAUAUAUCAGACGACGGACUACAGGUGCUUGCAGAACAGUGUCCGCAACUACGCAAACUCAGUCUCAAGUCAUGUGACCUGAUAACGGACCAAGGAAUUGUGAUGAUCGCGUAUCAGUGUCGGGGUCUGCAGCAGCUCAAUAUCCAGGACUGCCACCUCAGCGUUCAGGCCUACAGGACGGUCAAGAAGUACUGCAGGCGCUGCAUCAUUGAGCACACCAACCCCUCCUUCUGCUGAGAUACAACUCAGGAACUGCUACCAAGGUCACCAAACAGAAACUUGAAGUCACAAAGAAGUCAUUCAUAUGUGUGAGAGGGAAACACAACAUUUCCUUUUGUGGAUAUACCUGGAAAUAUGUGAUCUCAGCAAUCUAAGAUUUCUUUCAGUCUUACAGGAAUACGGCACUGGACAUAUCUGUGUUCAAGCAACCAAAGGCUGUGUUCAUUGCCCAACUAUCAUCAAGGUUAGGUUGUGUCAAGGGUUCUAGCCUGUUAAAUACAAGACAAUGAUUGUAUUACAACCAACUGUCAUCAAGGUUAGGUUGUGUCAAGGGUUCUAGCCUGUUAAAUACAAGGCAAUGAUUGUAUUACAACCAACUGUCAUCAAGGUUAGGUUGUGUCAAGGGUUCUAGCCUGUUAAAUACAAGACAAUGAUUGUAUUACAACCAACUAUCAUCAAGGUUAGGUUGUGUCAAGGGUUCUAGCCUAUUAAAUACAAGACAAUGAUUGUAUUACAACCAACUGUCAUCAAGGUUAGGUUGUGUCAAGGGUUCUAGCCUGUUAAAUACAAGACAAUGAGUGUAUUACAACCAACUGUCAUCAAGGUUAGGUUGUGUCAAGGGUUCUAGCCUGUUAAAUACAAGGCAAUGAUUGUAUUACAACCAACUGUCAUCAAGGUUAGGUUGUGUCAAGGGUUCUAGCCUGUUAAAUACAAGACAAUGAGUGUAUUACAACCAACUGUCAUCAAGGUUAGGUUUUGUCAAGGGUUCUAGCCUAUUAAAUACAAGACAAUGAGUGUAUUACAACCAACCGUCAUCAGUGGUUGGGUUGUUUAAGUACCCAACUGCUAUCCAAAAGUAAGGUUGCAUCAUAAGCCAGCUAUCGCCAGAGCUAGAUAAUGUGUCUGACCUUAUACCAUGCAACCAAGUCCACAGCUCUUGAUGGCGUCCGUUAUGAGGGCUACAUUUUGAGGAAGUUUCCAUCCUUCGCAUCCUAUGGAUGAGUAAACAUGCCAGUUUUCUAUGCAAACUUGUUUAAUCCACGGCUCCUAGCACUAUGUCUCACACAAAGGCAUGGCAACUCAGUGUAUGGAACCAAACAGGACCUCCAAGCAAUGGAAACACUCGGGACUAAGUUACUUUCCAACCAUGGCCAUUAUUCUUCGUUUGACGUUUGUACUGGGACUAUGAUACCUACUGCCUAGCUAUUAUAGUUGUUGACAAGACUAUGGCUUCGUAGUCACUAGUAGUUAUCCUAUAGCCAGUGGUUAACCCGAGAACAUAUUUAAAAUGGCUGUCAUGCCAUAUGUUCUAGCAAAAAAUGAAUGUAAUGUAAUGGCAAUCUUACCUAAUUGGGGUAUGUACAGUACAUUAUUGAGCUGGAUGGAUACAAUACUCAUUAACACAAAUCAUUAACAGAAUCUUCGAAGGAUAUAUCCUCAGUCAGAUCUGCCUCCAUUAUCAGACAGCUCAGAAAAGAUACGUCAGUAACAUGACCAACAUAAAUGUGCAUACACACAUGAGCCACACAGACUUCCAUACUCACACAUGGCCCUAACAGACCUCCAUACUCACACAUGGCCCUAACAGACCUCCAUACUCACACAUGAGCCACACAGACUUCCAUACUCACACAUGGCCCUAACAGACCUCCAUACUCACACAUGGCCCUAACAGACCUCCAUACUCACACAUGAGCCACACAGACUUCCAUACUCACACAUGGCCCUAACAGACCUCCAUACUCACACAUGGCCCUAACAGACCUCCAUACUCACACAUGAGGCACACAGACUUCCAUACUCACACAUGGCCCUAACAGACCUCCAUACUCACACAUGGCCCUAACAGACCUCCAUACUCACAUAUGAGCCUAACAGACCUCCAUACUCACACAUGAGCCACACAGACUUCCAUACUCACACAUGGCCCUAACACACCUCCAUACUCACACAUACUUACUCAUACAUACUCCAUAUUUACAAACACAGACCCCUACAGACUUUCAUACUUUCAUAUGGCCCUAUCAGACUUCCAUACCUAUAAUCCCUGGCCGCGUCAUACCAAAAGAUGUUAAAAGAUGGUACUUGUUGUUACCCUGUCUGGCAUUCGGCAUAAAGGGGCUAAAACAAGGACUGGUCGGCUCGGAGUCAGUAUACUUUUUUGAGUGGGGUAUUCAUUAAACCCAACGUUCAUUAAACGCGACGUUAAACCCAAUUUCACCUCACAACUCCAUACCUAUAAAUGGUCUAUACUCAACACCUGAACACAGGAACUGGUGACAUAUACAUAUGAUUGCAACAGACUGGGAAUUGUGACUUCAUUUAGGCCUCUACAUUUGGAUUAUUUGGUUUACAGGUUCUUGUUUUUCAAGAAGACAGGGUUGGUGGUUAAAAUAGAACUUAUGAAAUGUGUGAUUUCUGAAAAGAAUUAUCAGUGGAAUGCAAUAUGGAAACAAAGAAAUUAUUUUUAGUCCAGGAUCGAGUUACUUUAUGUCCCAGAUUUGGUUUAUAAUCUUGUUAAAAAUUUGACUGUGAGAGAAAAAGACUGUUAAUUUGAUUUUAUUCAAAAUAUGUGAUGUUUUGGUCCAGCUGAUCUGUAAAUCAUGCAAUCAAAAACAAAAUGCCUUAUUGACAAAGAUCAGCACCUGGGAAAGUCUCAAUAAGUCUGCUUUUGCAGAGAAAAGUACUCAUGCAUUCUAUGAUGCAUCAUAUCUUCAUGCUUGUAGAACUUGCGAAUUCAAAACGUACAUUAGCCUAAAAAUAUUGGCCAGCAGCUCCACACACCAUGUGCUGCAAGUACCAGUUGUUCCACACACCAUGUGCUACAUGUGCCCGUAGCUCCACACACCAUGUGCUACAUGUGCCUGUAGCUCCACACACCAUGUGCUACAUGUGCCCGUAGCUCCACACACCAUGUGGUACAUGUACCAGUAGCUCCACACACCAUGUGCUACAUGUGCCUGUAGCUCCACACACCAUGUGCUACAUGUACCUGUAGCUCCACACACCAUGUGCUACAUGUACCAGUAGCUCUACACACCAUGUGCUACAUGUACCAGUAGCUCCACACACCAUGUGCUACAUGUGCCCAUAGCUCCACACACCAUGUGCUACAUGUGCCCAUAGCUCCACACACCUUGUGCUACAUGUACCAGUAGCUCCAAACACCAUGUGCUACAUGUGCCUGUAGCUCCACACACCUUGUGCUACAUGUACCAGUAGCUCCACACACCAUGUGCUACAUGUGCCUGUAGCUCAACACACCAUGUGCUACAUGUACCAGUAGCUCCACACACCAUGCUCUACAUGUGCCUGUAGCUCCACACACCAUGUGCUACUUGCACCAGUAGC